rnacentral:rRNA from 1 species
GACGAACGCUGGCGGCGUGCUUAACACAUGCAAGUCGAACGGAAAGGCCCUGCUUUUGUGGGGUGCUCGAGUGGCGAACGGGUGAGUAACCCGUGAGUAACCUGCCCUUGACUUUGGGAUAACUUCAGGAAACUGGGGCUCAUACCGGAUAGGAGCUCCUGCUGCAUGGUGGGGGUUGGAAAGUUUCGGCGGUUGGGGCUGGACUCGCGGCUUAUCAGCUUGUUUGUGGGGUAGUGGCUUACCAAGGGGUUGACGGGUAGCCGGCCUGGGAGGGUGACCGGCGACCUGGGGCCUGAGGGAGGGACCAGACGCCAAUGGGAGGCAACAGGGGAGAGUAUUGCACAGCAGGGGCACGUGUGAUGUGGCGGCGUUGGGUUCGGGAUGACCGCCUUCGGGUGGUAAACCGCUUUCGCCUGUGACGAAGCGUGCGUGACGGUAACGGGUAAAGAAGCACCGGCUAACUACGUG